CCUACGGGAGGCAGCAGUGAGGAAUAUUGGUCAAUGGACGAGAGUCUGAACCAGCCAAGUAGCGUGAAGGAUGACUGCCCUAUGGGUUGUAAACUUCUUUUAUAAAGGAAUAAAACGAGGCACGUGUGCCUUUUUGCAUGUACUUUAUGAAUAAGGAUCGGCUAACUCCGUGCCAGCAGCCGCGGUAAUACGGAGGAUCCGAGCGUUAUCCGGAUUUAUUGGGUUUAAAGGGGGCGUAGAUGGGUUGUUAAGACAGUUGUGAAAGUUUGCGGCUCAACCGUAAAAUUGCAAUUGAUACUGGCAGUCGUGAGUACAGUUGAGGUAGGCGGAAUUCGUGGUGUAGCGGUGAAAUGCUUAGAUAUCACGAAGAACCCCGAUUGCGAAGGCAGCUUACUAAACUGUGACUGACAUUGAUGCUCGAAAGUGUGGGUAUCAAACAGGAUUAGAUACCCGGGUAGUC
rnacentral:rRNA from 1 species